GAGCCAGCUUAGCCUAGCGGUUCCUUCACAAUUUGCUUAUUCGUGUUCAACUCUAGUUCCUAGCAGUUCAAGUCCCACGGGCACUGUCUGGCUUUCCA
ensembl:vault_RNA Vault Vault RNA